rnacentral:lncRNA from 1 species
AUUUGUCUGUGCUGGUCCCUGGUUUGUUGUUCCUGUAGUAGUAGCAUCUAUUUUUGUUCCUCUGAUAUCCUGCUUGGAAGAUAAAUUUUCUGAGAAGCUUGUUUUGCUGUUCUGUACAGCAUCUCGAAGAACUUUGCAAUGAAGAUCAUCAACAAUGGCUGCUGGAUGUCGAGAGCUAGCACAGUGCACCAUUGCUUCUAUGUACCUGUCCAAUGCCUCUGCUACAAGAGGGGUCAG